CUAGAUUAGUUUAACAUGUGAAAUGUCCGUAAAGUAUCAUCAUAUGAUUGGUUUUAGGGUACAUUUCCAACAAUCUCCCACUUGCACUAGAGCCAAUCAGCUUGGUCAUCAGUUAGGAUACCUCUUCUGUAGUCAUUUCAUAAAUGGCUGAAUAGUAGGCCUAGACAAUGGAUAUCCCUAUGUUAUCCAUAGAAGCAACCUUGAGAAUAACGACGUCACCAUUAUACAUGAUUCUCAAUCAUGUGGUUGGUCUCUCAUUUGAGUUCGGACCUUGAUGAGACCUUGAUUCCCUGG
rnacentral:lncRNA from 1 species